rnacentral:rRNA from 1 species
AGCACGGGAGCAAUCCUGGUGGCGAGUGGCGAACGGGUGAGUAAUGUAUCGGAACGUACCUUUCAGUGGGGGAUAACGUAGCGAAAGUUACGCUAAUACCGCAUAUUCUGUGAGCAGGAAAGCAGGGGAUCGCAAGACCUUGCGCUGAUUGAGCGGCCGAUAUCAGAUUAGCUAGUUGGUGAGGUAAAGGCUCACCAAGGCGACGAUCUGUAGCGGGUCUGAGAGGAUGAUCCGCCACACUGGAACUGAGACACGGUCCAGACUCCUACGGGAGGCAGCAGUGGGGAAUUUUGGACAAUGGGGGCAACCCUGAUCCAGCCAUUCCGCGUGAGUGAAGAAGGCCUUCGGGUUGUAAAGCUCUUUCGGCAGGAACGAAACGGUCUCACCUAAUACGUGGGGCUAAUGACGGUACCUGAAGAAGAAGCACCGGCUAACUACGUGCCAGCAGCCGCGGUAAUACGUAGGGUGCGAGCGUUAAUCGGAAUUACUGGGCGUAAAGCGUGCGCAGGCGGUUAUGUAAGACAGGUGUGAAAUCCCCGGGCUUAACCUGGGAACUGCGCUUGUGACUGCAUAACUCGAGUGUGGCAGAGGGGGGUGGAAUUCCACGUGUAGCAGUGAAAUGCGUAGAUAUGUGGAGGAACACCGAUGGCGAAGGCAGCCCCCUGGGCCGAUACUGACGCUCAUGCACGAAAGC